rnacentral:lncRNA from 1 species
UAUUGCUAACGAGUGAGCGUAGGAAAUUGCAAGUUGUUCCAUUAUGUGAUUUAAUAAUCUAAAUUUUUGAGUAAGGUCAUGGACAUAUUGGCAUAUUGCAUUUUUUAUCCGUACACCCCCUGUUGAGGACCUUGGAAAUCCAGGGGAUGCUUUUAUAUUUAACCUGGAAUUCCAGUGGGUGGGGGUCAAAACAACCUGGAAUUCCAGUGGGUGGGGGUCAAAAUAACCCUGGAAUUCCAGUGGUUGG